UGUUGAUGAUGAUAAAUCCAAAGGCUUGUUUCUCAAAAACAUUCGCAGUGGCCACCUAAUAUAUUUUGACUUCACCUGGCUUGAGAGCUUUUGCUGCUUCAUUACUUCCUUGGAUGUCUGAAAACA